rnacentral:rRNA from 1 species
CCUACGGGUGGCAGCAGUGAGGAAUAUUGGUCAAUGGACGAGAGUCUGAUCCAGCCAAGCAGCGUGAAGGAUGACUGCCCUAUGGGUUGUAAACUUCUUUUAUAUGGGAAUAAAACGUUCCACGUGUGGGAUUUUGUAUGUACCAUAUGAAUAAGGAUCGGCUAACUCCGUGCCAGCAGCCGCGGUAAUACGGAGGAUCCGAGCGUUAUCCGGAUUUAUUGGGUUUAAAGGGAGCGUAGGGGGAUUUGUAAGUCAGUUGUGAAAGUUUGCGGCUCAACCGUAAAAUUGCAGUUGAAACUGGCAGUCUUGAGUACAGUAGAGGUGGGCGGAAUUCGUGGUGUAGCGGUGAAAUGCUUAGAUAUCACGAAGAACACCGAUUGCGAAGGCAGCUCACUGGACUGCAACUGACACUGAGGCUCGAAAGUGUGGGGAUCAAACAGGAUUAGAUACCCCUGUAGUC